CUAUGCACAACUACCCUAACGAGUAUUUGGAAGGUGCCUGCCAUGUGAUUCAGCCACCCAGAGGCAACAGGGAGGUGGAAAUGGUGGCUCCUUGAUUUUCUUCUAUUCUCGUGAUGAGAAAUUGGUGCCGAAUGACUGGACUACAGUAAUUCCUCUUCAUCUUUGUGACAUUCAAGUCCUCAGCAGCUCGAAUCUAGGCUGGGAUGGCCACCCACCUGGUCUUCCCAUCUCUAUUUUGUGAUAAGGCAGAGACAAGGAGCCUGAUGAUGUAGCCUUCCCAGGUCAGCUUCCUGGGUCAGAGUGGAGAAGUGAGAAAUGAGCUCAGAAGAGAGCCCUCAGCUCCAGAUAAAAACACAGCUGGCUAACACCUUGAUUCCAGCCUGAGCAGAGAAGUCAGCCAUGCUGAGCUGGACUUCCAACCUACAGCACUGUGAGCUAAUAAAUAGGUGCCAUUCUAAACUGCUAA